rnacentral:rRNA from 1 species
GACGUAGGGCGCGAGCGUUGUCCGGAUUUAUUGGGCGUAAAGAGCUCGUAGGCGGUCUGUCGCGUCGGCUGUGAAAUCCCGAGGCUCAACCUCGGGUCUGCAGUCGAUACGGGCAAACUGGAGUGUUGCAGGGGAGACUGGAAUUCCUGGUGUAGCGGUGAAAUGCGCAGAUAUCAGGAGGAACACCGGUGGCGAAGGCGGGUCUCUGGGCAGUAACUGACGCUGAGGAGCGAAAGCGUGGGGAGCGAACAGG